UCUUCACAAGCAUGCCCCCAUCCUGUGCCGAUAAGAACUCCAGACCCCAAACUCAGCUCAUACACACACGGAAGAGAGAAGCAUCUGAACAUCAAGAAGAGAAGAAGCUGCUGGACAUCAGAAACUGUGAAAGGAGAGGAGUUUGGCUGAGCUCCAGGGGAAGACUGCCUGCACAUUCUAUCCCCUUUUCAGUUCCCCAUCCUGCUGUCAGCCACAUUUACCACUCAAUAAAAUCUUCACAUUC
rnacentral:lncRNA from 1 species